rnacentral:misc_RNA from 1 species
UGGGAAUGAAUGGAAAGCAAGGGAAAAAGAAAGAUGCACAAACGAAAGUUUAAGAUCUCGACACCAAGGGAGUUUUUCCCUUUGACGUAGCGGCGUACGCAACCUCAAUCAUCUCGUCAUUGGCAAGAAAAGUCCACCAUCGGUAGCUCAAUGGAAAACACGUUUACAGUCAAUGAGUGAGAGAAUAAGCAGUCGCAUCACUUAUUUAUGUAAUUUCUCAGUGCUCAAUGGAGCAGCGAGCUAGCUAGGGACAGAGACGGGUAGGGGUAGCGGUUACCUUUGCCCCGAGCCACGGAGUUCUUCUGUUUGGACCAACCUCUUCUCGAGCCAGCUUUGAACUUCGUGUAGACGUGGAUCGACCAAGACAGACACCUCCAGCGACAGCGCAUUCUUCUUUCUUACGAUAAUUCCAACUGAGUGGAUACCGAUACGUAAUACUAAUACUGGGUCAUUUCAACUGUAAAAAAAGAAUGAGAAUGGGAGGGAAAAAGCACUGUGCCGAAGCCCCAAUGGGGCCGAGUCAUGGACUGGUUGGAUCUAACCUAAGGUCCCAGUCCCUCGGGAACAGUGUAAAUAGGCAAGCAGUUCAGGCUGAGAUGGUGAGCGGCUAGUCCCUUUACACAGAAAGAAAGAAAAAAAAGAACUCAGAGACAGAGAGCUUGGAGAACCUAGAACGAGGUAAACCCUGUGCUCACAGGAAACAACAUAAACAACAAUUAGGC